AAUGAAUGCUGGCGGCGUGCCUAACACAUGCAAGUCGAGCGGUAGCGCGCGUAGUUUACUACUUGGCGGCGAGCGGCGGACGGCUGAGUAACGCGUGGGAACGUGCCCCAAAGUGAGGAAUAACUGCCCGAAAGGGUAGCUAAUGCCGCAUAUGGUCUUCGGAUUAAAGUAUUUAUACGCUUUGGGAGCGGCCCGCGUCGGAUAGGUAGUUGGUGAGGUAAAGGCUCACCAAGCCGACGAUCCGUAGCUGGUCUUAGAGGAUGAUCAGCCAGACUGGAACUGAGCCACGGUCCAGACUCCUACGGGAGGCAGCAGUGAGGAAUCUUCCACAAUGGGCGAAAGCCUGAUGGAGCAACGCCGCGUGAAGGAUGAAGGCCUUAGGGUUGUAAACUUCUUUUAUAAGUGAAGAAUAUGACGGUAACUUAUGAAUAAGCACCGGCUAACUACGUGCCAGCCGCCGCUGUAA
rnacentral:rRNA from 1 species